rnacentral:lncRNA from 1 species
CAGUCCUGACCUGGGAGUCUGCAAGCACCCCUGACUGUUCUGACCCUGAGCUGCCCCUCCCACCCUGCAUCUGAGACCCAGGUUUGAGCCAGGAACUCCUGGACUCCAGAGCUCAGGCGGGACGGAGGUUGUUUACUGAACAGGGAACAGUGCUUUUGGCGGAGGAGCUGCUAGGAAAUGAAUCCAGCCUCACUGAACUGCCAACCCCGGGCUUUCCAGGAUGGGACUGAAUCUGCCCAGAACAUAAAGACAUCGUGUGGACCAGUGGGACAUGGGACCAGUGAGCGGCAGAGAAAAAUCGAUAGACUACAAGCGUGCGUG